rnacentral:rRNA from 1 species
GACGAACGCUGGCGGCGUGCCUAAUACAUGCAAGUCGAACGCAGUGGGGACGGGUGAGUAACACGUGGGUAACCUCCCAUAAGAGGGGAUAACACUUGGAAACAGGUGCUAAACCGAUACUGAUGGAUGGACCCGCGGUGGAUUAGCUGUUGGGUGGGGGAACGGCUCACCAAGGCCACGAUGCCUAGCUGACCUGAGAGGGUGAUCGGCCACACUGGGACGGAGACACGGUCCAGACUCCUCCGUGAGGCAGCAGUAGGGAAUCUUCGGCAAUGGGCGAAAGCCUGACCCAGCAAUGCCGCGUGUAUGAAGAAGGCCUUCGGGUUGUAAAGUACUUUCAGUCGGGAGGCGUUACCGGCAGAAGAAGCACCGGCUAACUCCGUGCCAGCAGCCGCGGUAAUAC